AGCAGGUGAGGCCGCGCGGCACUGGUCAGAGGAGCGGUGGCGAUAGUUGGGUCUGAAUACCUUAGGUGCGGCGCACCUAGGGCUAGGUUUUUUCUUUCUUUUCUGUUUUUAUUUAUUUUAGGCUGCUAGAAAUGGGUUUGGGGUAAUUAUGUUAAUUGAGCUAGGUCUAGGCUUAUUUAAGUUUAGUUUGUAAUGGGUUUUGGGUUUAGGUUUAGGUGGGUUUGGGCCUAGGCAAAAUGGGUUUGUACAGC
rnacentral:lncRNA from 1 species